CUUGGGAAAGGAAUGAGCAAUCCCACUUACAAGAAAACGAGGAGAAAAUUCUUGAAGCUCUUGAACCUCAUGCGCAACUUAAAAGUUUGGUUGCAAGGGGAUAUCUUGGCACCCAACUCCCACAAUGGAUGAUUAAUCCUACGGUCAAGGAUUUAAUUUCCUUACGACUCAGGGGUUGUAAAAAUCUUGUAUGUGUUUCGUGCCUGGCAAAACUUCCGUCUUUGAAGCGUCUGAGCUUGUGGGACAUGAAUCACGUGCAAUAUAUAGAUGAGGAAUCUUAUGUUGAUGGGUUGACAGAGGUUUCCAAGCUCUGGAAGAUCUACAGCUGUCAAGGCUACAGAGCCUUGUAAAGUUGUCAAGGGAGGAUGCAGACAGCAUGUUCCCACGUCUCUCAAAGUUGGACAUCACUCAUUGUCCGCAACUAAACUUGCCUUUACUUCCCUCCGUCACUCAACUACAAGUUACAAAUGGAUGUAGCAGGGCGUUAGUUGGUUCAAUUCAAAAUCUGCCCAAUCUUGAACGCCUUGAUUUGAAUGGAGAUGGAAAGUGGACUUCCUUUCCAGAAGAGAUGCUAGUAGGCCUUGAGCACCUCAAACAUCUACGAUUUUUCGGGCUUCGCAGACUUAAAGUUCUCCCAACUGGACGCGCCAACUUGAAAGCUCUCGAACAAUUUCAAAUUGCUCUAUGUGAAAACCUUGAGACAAUAACAGAGGAAGCGUCGCACGGGUUGCGUUUUCUUAAAAGGAUUUAUAUUAUUAACUGUCGUAAAUUCAAACUGUCUGCAGGUUUUAGACACCUCAUAGCCCUUGAACAUCUAGCUAUUGAAGGAUGUGGGGAGGUGAAAGACAUCCAUGAUGCUUUAGAGCAUAUUAUGACCCUUCGAUCGUUAUUUUUGUCUUAUCUCCCAAAUUUAGUGUCCUUGCCCAACUGGUUGGGGAACCUUGGGUCGCUUGAGUCAUUGUAUAUAUCUCAAUGCCCCAAGUUGACGUCACUUCCGAUGAGCACUCAGAGCCUCACAAAUUUGAAAUAUUUGGAAAUUUAUGGUUAUUCGGAGUUAGGGAAGAGAUGCAAGGAGGGAACAGGGGAGGAUUGGCACAAAAUUGCUCAUGUUCCACAUCGUGUUAUAAGAGAUUAAGAUGCAUAUUUUGGUCAACGUCAAUGUUGUUCGUCUUAUUUCGUUCGCACGUAGAGAUUUUUGUUGAAGACUGAGUCAGAUUCCACCCGUUGGGUGGAACCGCGUUACUCAACAGAAUGGAGGUUGCGUCUUUUGAUGACAAAUUUUAGAGUUCAAGCAUGAAAGUGCUCUUCCCUGCUGCAUUCUGCUGGUGUCGGAAAAUUUCACUGUUCUAAGUUGGAAAUUAAGUUUGCUCUGAUCUUUUGCAAUCUGUGACUUCCUUAACGAGUCAUUGUUUCAAAUGUAGAAUGAUGAGAGCAUUUUGCACAUUGAAAUUUGCGUCUUCCUUUUCUUUUUCUGCCGUCUUCCAUGUUUAUGUAGCAUUUCAGAAACUGUGCUCCUUGUGCAUGUUAUUAUCCUGGGUUUAUGCCAUUCCAUUCGAUUCAUGGCCUAACCUUGGUUUCUUCUGUUGUUAACUGUUUCAUUUGAGGUUCAUUGUUUAUACUCCUAUUACUAGGUCUGUUUAUUGUUUAUGACAAUACACUGUCA